UACGAAGGGGGCAAGCGUUGUUCGGAUUUACUGGGCGUAAAGGGCGCGUAGGCGGAACGACAAGUCAGAGGUGAAAGCCCUGGGCUCAACCCGGGAAUUGCCUUUGGGACUGCCGUUCUAGAGUUCGGAAGAGGAUGGCGGAAUACCCAGUGUAGAGGUGAAAUUCGUAGAUAUUGGGUAGAACACCGGUGGCGAAGGCGGCCAUCUGGUCCGACACUGACGCUGAGGCGCGAAAGCGUGGGGAGCAAACAGG
rnacentral:rRNA from 2 species